rnacentral:rRNA from 1 species
AUUGAACGCUGGCGGCAUGCCUUACACAUGCAAGUCGAACGGUAACGGGCCUUCGGGUGCCGACGAGUGGCGAACGGGUGAGUAAUGUAUCGGAACGUACCUUUCAGUGGGGGAUAACGUAGCGAAAGUUACGCUAAUACCGCAUAUUCUGUGAGCAGGAAAGCAGGGGAUCGCAAGACCUUGCGCGGAUUGAGCGGCCGAUAUCAGAUUAGCUAGUUGGUGAGGUAAAGGCUCACCAAGGCGACGAUCUGUAGCGGGUCUGGGAGGAUGAUCCGCCACACUGGAACUGAGACACGGUCCAGACUCCUACGGGAGGCAGCAGUGGGGAAUUUUGGACAAUGGGGGCAACCCUGAUCCAGCCAUGCCGCGUGAGUGAAGAAGGCCUUCGGGUUGUAAAGCUCUUUCGGCCGGGAAGAAAUCGUAUCAGCUAAUACCUGGUGCGGAUGACGGUACCGGCAUAAGAAGCACCGGCUAACUACGUGCCAGCAGCCGCCGUAAGAC